rnacentral:rRNA from 1 species
GGGUGCGACCAUACCAGCACUAACGCAUCGGAUCCCAUCAGAACUCCGAAGUUAAGCGUGCUUGGGCGAGAGUAGUACUAGGAUGGGUGAACCCCUGGGAAGUCCUCGUAUGGCACCCC